rnacentral:rRNA from 1 species
CAGCAGUCAAGAAUAUUAGUCAAUGCUCGCAAGAGUGAACUAGCUAACUGAAAUCCUUGGUGUGCCAUCGAGGAUAACGUAAGGGAAAAUAAUGAUAUUACCUUACUAUUAGUGUCGUCCAAGUGCUCGUGCCAGAAGACUCGGUAAGGCGAGAGACGCAAACGUUAUUCGUCUUGAUCAGGCGUAAAGGGUUUGUAGGCGGCUUUAAGUAUCUAAUUUUAAGUUUACUGUUUUAAUGCGAAAUUAAAUUAUUCCCAAAUUAUUUGAGGGAUAGGUAUUCUUUUCAAUGGUAAAGAUUAAUUUUUUUUUACCUCUGCCCCAACUCCAUCUAAGUGUUUUUAGAUGCGCACCCUUCUCCCUACCCUCUACCCUCUUUCUCCUUUUUUAUCUAUAAAAAAGGCAGAGGAGAUGAGGAGUUGGGGGCCGGAGCGAGAGGCAGGUGAUUAAAUUAAAUUAAUCCUAUUAAUUUAGCAUUUUAAUAUUUAUUAAAAGAUCAAUUAAAGCUAGAAUCUAGCAGAGGUUAAAACAAUACUUAAGGUAGGAGUACUAACCAUAAAUAAUAAGCAGAGUUUUAAGGGCGAAGGCUUUUAUCCACUACAGAUUGACGCUGAGAAACGAAGGUGAGGACAGAAAAAAGGAUUAGAGACCCUUGUAUCCCUCACUGUCAACGAUGAAUGGUAGUUACUAGGGAGAAAUGACCUAGAGACGAUGUUAACACGAAAACCAUUCCGCCUUGUGAGUACGACUGCAAAGUUGAAAACAAAAAAAUUAGUCGGUUUCGGAGCAAACGAAGUGAAGCAUGUUAUUUAAUUCGAUAAUCCGC